rnacentral:rRNA from 1 species
UACGUAGGGGGCUAGCGUUGUCCGGAAUCAUUGGGCGUAAAGCGCGCGUAGGCGGCCCUGUAAGUCCGCUGUGAAAGUCGAAGGCUCAACCUUCGAAAGCCGGUGGAUACUGCAGGGCUAGAGUCCGGAAGAGGCGAGUGGAAUUCCUGGUGUAGCGGUGGAAUGCGCAGAUAUCAGGAGGAACACCAAUAGCGAAGGCAGCUCGCUGGGACGGUACUGACGCUAAGGCGCGAAAGCGUGGGGAGCAAACAGG